rnacentral:rRNA from 1 species
CUGCGAAUGGCUCAUUAAAUCAGUUAUCGUUUAUUUGAUAGUACCUUACUACUUGGAUAACCGUGGUAAUUCUAGAGCUAAUACAUGCUGAAAACCCCGACUUCGGAAGGGGUGUAUUUAUUAGAUAAAAAACCAAUGCCCUUCGGGGCUCCUUGGUGAUUCAUAAUAACUUCUCAGAUCGCAUGGCCUUGCGCCGGCGACGGUUCAUUCAAAUUUCUGCCCUAUCAACUUUCGAUGGUAAGGUAUUGGCUUACCAUGGUUUCAACGGGUAACGGGGAAUUAGGGUUCGAUUCCGGAGAGGGAGCCUGAGAAACGGCUACCACAUCCAAGGAAGGCAGCAGGCGCGCAAAUUACCCAAUCCCGACACGGGGAGGUAGUGACAAUAAAUACUGAUACAGGGCUCUUUUGGGUCUUGUAAUUGGAAUGAGUACAAUUUAAACCUCUUAACGAGGAACAAUUGGAGGGCAAGUCUGGUGCCAGCAGCCGCGGUAAUUCCAGCUCCAAUAGCGUAUAUUAAAGUUGUUGCAGUUAAAAAGCUCGUAGUUGAACCUUUGGCCUGGCUGGCAGGUCCGCCUCACCGCGUGCACUUGUCCGGCCGGGCCUUCUCUUCUGGAGAACCGCAUGCCCUUCACUGGGUGUGUUGGGGACCAGGACUUUUACUUUGAAAAAAUUAGAGUGUUCAAAGCAGGCCUUUGCUCGAAUACGUUAGCAUGGAAUAAUAGAAUAGGACGUGCGGUCCUAUUUUGUUGGUUUCUAGGACCGCCGUAAUGAUUAAUAGGGACAGUCGGGGGCAUCAGUAUUCAAUUGUCAGAGGUGAAAUUCUUGGAUUUAUUGAAGACUAACUACUGCGAAAGCAUUUGCCAAGGAUGUUUUCAUUAAUCAGUGAACGAAAGUUAGGGGAUCGAAGACGAUCAGAUACCGUCGUAGUCUUAACCAUAAACUAUGCCGACUAGGGAUCGGGCGGUGUUAUUAUUUUGACUCGCUCGGCACCUUACGAGAAAUCAAAGUGUUUGGGUCUGGGGGGAGACUG